GCUUCAUCAUACAAUCGAGAAGAAAAAUUGGAACGAUACAAAGAAGAUCAGCAUGGUCCCUGCGCAAGAAUGACACGCACAAAUCGAGAAAUGCUUCAUCAUACA